GAUGAACGCUGGCGGCGUGCUUAACACAUGCAAGUCGAACGAUGAAGCCCAGCUUGCUGGGUGGAUUAGUGGCGAACGGGUGAGUAACACGUGAGUAACCUGCCCUUGACUCUGGGAUAAGCCUGGGAAACUGGGUCUAAUACUGGAUAUGACUUCUCAUCGCAUGGUGGGGAGUGGAAAGAUUUAUUGGUCUUGGAUGGACUCGCGGCCUAUCAGCUUGUUGGUGAGGUAAUGGCUCACCAAGGCGACGACGGGUAGCCGGCCUGAGAGGGUGACCGGCCACACUGGGACUGAGACACGGCCCAGACUCCUACGGGAGGCAGCAGUGGGGAAUAUUGCACAAUGGGCGCAAGCCUGAUGCAGCGACGCCGCGUGAGGGAUGACGGCCUUCGGGUUGUAAACCUCUUUCAGUAGGGAAGAAGCGAGAGUGACGGUACCUGCAGAAGAAGCGCCGGCUAACUACGCG
rnacentral:rRNA from 1 species